rnacentral:rRNA from 1 species
GAUGAACGCUGGCGGCGUGCCUAAUACAUGCAAGUCGAGCGAACAGACGAGGAGCUUGCUCCUCUGACGUUAGCGGCGGACGGGUGAGUAACACGUGGAUAACCUACCUAUAAGACUGGGAUAACUUCGGGAAACCGGAGCUAAUACCGGAUACUAUAUUGAACCGCAUGGUUCAAUAGUGAAAGACGGUUUUGCUGUCACUUAUAGAUGUAUCCGCGCCGCAUUAGCUAGUUGGUAAGGUAACGGCUUACCAAGGCAACGAUGCGUAGCCGACCUGAGAGGGUGAUCGGCCACACUGGAACUGAGACACGGUCCAGACUCCUACGGGAGGCAGCAGUAGGGAAUCUUCCGCAAUGGGCGAAAGCCUGACGGAGCAACGCCGCGUGAGUGAUGAAGGUCUUCGGAUCGUAAAACUCUGUUAUUAGGGAAGAACAAAUGUGUAAGUAACUAUGCACGUCUUGACGGUACCUAAUCAGAAAGCCACGGCUAACUACGUG